UACGUAGGGGGCAAGCGUUGUCCGGAAUUAUUGGGCGUAAAGAGCGCGUAGGCGGUCCGAUAAGUCGACUGUGAAAGUCCAGGGCUCAACCCUGGAAAGCCGGUCGAUACUGUCGGACUAGAGUCCGGAAGAGGCAAGUGGAAUUCCCGGUGUAGCGGUGAAAUGCGCAGAUAUCGGGAGGAACACCAAUGGCGAAGGCAGCUUGCUGGGACGGUACUGACGCUGAGGCGCGAAAGCGUGGGGAGCGAACAGG
rnacentral:rRNA from 1 species